rnacentral:rRNA from 1 species
GAUGAACGCUGGCGGCGUGCUUAAUACAUGCAAGUCGAACGGAGAAUUAGCAAUAGUUCUUAGUGGCGAACGGGUGAGUAACGCGUUGGUGAUCUGUCCCGAAGAGGGGGAUAACAGUUCGAAAGGACUGCUAAUACCCCAUGUGGUUGCCGAGGUUAGAGGCUUGGUAACUGAAGGAGAAAUCCGCUUCGGGAGGAGCCUGCGUCCCAUCAGCUAGUUGGUAGAGUAAAAGCCUACCAAGGCGAAGACGGGUAGGGGGCCUGAGAGGGUGACCCCCCACACUGGCACUGAAACACGGGCCAGACACCUACGGGUGGCUG